rnacentral:rRNA from 1 species
GACGAACGCUGGCGGCGUGCCUAAUACAUGCAAGUCGAACGCACCCUCGUUUAGAUUGAAGGAGCUUGCUCCUGAUUGAUAAACAUUUGAGUGAGUGGCGGACGGGUGAGUAACACGUGGGUAACCUGCCCUAAAGUGGGGGAUAACAUUUGGAAACAGAUGCUAAUACCGCAUAAAACCUAACACCGCAUGGUGUAGGGUUGAAAGAUGGUUUCGGCUAUCACUUUAGGAUGGACCCGCGGUGCAUUAGUUAGUUGGUGAGGUAAAGGCUCACCAAGACCGUGAUGCAUAGCCGACCUGAGAGGGUAAUCGGCCACACUGGGACUGAGACACGGCCCAGACUCCUACGGGAGGCAGCAGUAGGGAAUCUUCCACAAUGGACGAAAGUCUGAUGGAGCAACGCCGCGUGAGUGAAGAAGGUUUUCGGAUCGUAAAACUCUGUUGUUGGAGAAGAAUGUAUCUGAUAGUAACUGAUCAGGUAGUGACGGUAUCCAACCAGAAAGCCA